AGAAUACCAAGGCGCUUGAGAGAACUCGGGUGAAGGAACUAGGCAAAAUGGUGCCGUAACUUCGGGAGAAGGCACGCUGAUGUGUAGGUGAAGCCCCUGCGGGCGGAGCUGAAAUCAGUCGAAGAUACCAGCUGGCUGCAACUGUUUAUUAAAAACACAGCACUGUGCAAACACGAAAGUGGACGUAUACGGUGUGACGCCUGCCCG
rnacentral:rRNA from 1 species